UCCCUGGUGGUCCAGUGGCUAAGACUCUGUACUCCCAACACUGGGGGCCCAGGUUCAAUCCCUAGUCAGGGAA
rnacentral:tRNA from 1 species